AACGAACGCUGGCGGCAGGCUUAACACAUGCAAGUCGAACGCAUCCUUCGGGGUGAGUGGCAGACGGGUGAGUAACGCGUGGGAACGUGCCCUUCAGUUCGGGAUAACCCAGGGAAACUUGGGCUAAUACCGGAUACGUGCGAGAGCAGAAAGAUUUAUCGCUGAAGGAUCGGCCCGCGACUGAUUAGCUAGUUGGUGGGGGAAAGGCCCACCAAGGCGAAGAUUAGUUGCUGGGCUGGGAGGAUGAACAGCCACAUUUGGACUGAGACAACGCCCAAAAUCCUAAGGGAGGGAGCAGUGGGGGAUAUUGGACAAUGGGGGCAAGCCUGAUCCAGCCAUGCCGGGUUAGUGAUGAAGGCCUUAGGGUUGUAAAGGUCUUUCGUCCGGGAAGAUAAUGAAGGUACCGGAAGAAGAAGCCCCGGCUAACUUCGUGCCAGCCGCCGCCGUAA
rnacentral:rRNA from 1 species